GUCCACAGAGCAGCAGCAUCAUGAGGAGGAUCUUGCUGGCAGUCUUGAACCUCUCAGGGUGGCUCAUCUUUUGCACCUGCCUCCUUUAUGAGUACCACUACGUAUCUGAUCAAAAAAACUGGACUGAAGCUCAGAACCACUGCAGACAGGACUACACAGAUCUGGCAACUAUUGAAAACACGACAGAACUUAACCAGUUUAUCAAUGUUUCAUCUGUUUAUAGCAUAAUUUUCUGGACUGGUCUGUAUAGUAAAUUUAACUGGACAUGGUCAGAUGGUUACAUGGAGAGUGAGGCUGACAAUAGACAUACAGUAUCCCUGAAAUCUUACUUAGGGCGUCAUUGGUGUAUGAGCAUCAGUCAAUUUACAUACUUGCACUUUGACAACUGCUCUGCAGAAUAUCCAUUCAUAUGUUAUAAUGGUGAGUACCCAGCAAAGUAACUUCCUUUCCAAAAAACACUGACAGUGUGUCAACUUACCAAUGGUAUUUGUUCUGCAGGAACUCAGCAGGAUCCUGAAUUUACGUGUGUGAAUGAGAGCAGAAACUGGUUCAGUGCUCAGAGCUACUGCAGGGAGAACUUCACAGACCUGGCCACUGUGAAGAACAGCAUUCAGAAACUCAAGACCCAGAAUUUAGUGCCAGGUGGAAAUCGGGCUUGGAUUGGUCUGAAUGGAUAUUAUGAUUUGUAUUGGUCUGAUGGGAGUAGCGUGGAGAGUUUUUUCUGGGAUAGAUUUCACUCAAUAGAUCUAAAUAUUCCAAUGGCUUGUGGUUUGUUAAACCGGCUCAGCAAUGAAUUUAUACUUUAUCCUUGUUAUACCACACAUCCCUUUAUGUGUGACAGCAGGUCCCCACCUAGUCCAGCUGGUGAGUGCUACUGUUUUCCAGUGGAACAGAGAGCAUGUGAAAUGAAGAUGUUAAUUGGGUUUGUGAAUGUGUACCUAAAGAACAGCUAACUAAACCACUGUGUGAAGUAAAUUGUUCCUAAUGGCUCAAACUACAUCUUUGAAAACAGUCAUUAGAUCCAAAACGAACACUUUAUUUUCUGCUUCUCAUUCCAUUUAUCCCAUUAAUCUGAAGUGAGGAGGCAGGUGGUGAAGCUGAGGAUGAAGCUGGAGGACUCCUCUGUGGAUCUGAAUAACCAGGCUGUGAAAGCAGACAUGCUGAAAAAGGUAAAUGUACUAAAUAACACAAAUGAUAAUAAUAGGUUCACUUUUUAAAACUUGGAUGAUUUA
rnacentral:lncRNA from 1 species